rnacentral:rRNA from 1 species
GAACGCUAGCGACAGGCCUAACACAUGCAAGUCGAGGGGCAGCACAAGGAGCAAUCUGAGGUGGCGACCGGCGCACGGGUGAGUAACACGUAUGCAACCUGCCUGUAAGCGGGGAAUAACCCGUUGAAAGACGGACUAAUACCGCAUAAUACUAAAUUACUGCAUGGUAAUUUAUUUAAACAUUUAUGGCUUACAGAUGGGCAUGCGCAUGAUUAGCUAGUUGGAGAGGUAACGGCUCCCCAAGGCAACGAUCAUUAGGGGUUCUGAGAGGAAGGUCCCCCACACUGGUACUGAGACACGGACCAGACUCCUACGGGAGGCAGCAGUGAGGAAUAUUGGUCAAUGGACGAGAGUCUGAACCAGCCAAGUCGCGUGCAGGAAGAAUGUCCUUAAUGGAUUGUAAACUGCUUUUGCAGGGGAAUAAAGUGCAUCACGUGUGAUGUUUUGUAUGUACUCUGCGAAUAAGGAUCGGCUAACUCCGUGCCAGCAGCAGC